GACGGAGGUCUCUAGCGUUGUUCGGAAUUACUGGGCUUAAAGCGCGUGUAGGCGGAGUGACAAGUACCUUGUGAAAUCCCCGGGCUCAACCCGGGAAUUGCUCGGUAUACUGUUAUUCUUGAGGCAGGUAGGGGUCACUGGAACCUUAGGUGGAGCGGUGAAAUGCGUAGAUAUCUAAGGGAACGCCUGUGGCGAAAGCGGGUGACUGGGCCUGUCCUGACGCUGAGACGCGAAAGCGUAGGGAGCAAACGGGAUUAGAUACCCCGGUAGUCUACGCCGUAAACGAUGCGCACUAGGUUCGAGGAUCUCUGACGAUACUCGAGCCGAAACAAAAGCGAUAAGUGCGCCGCCUGGGGAGUACGGCCGCAAGGCUAAA
rnacentral:rRNA from 1 species